rnacentral:rRNA from 1 species
GACGAACGCUGGCGGCGUGCUUAACACAUGCAAGUCGAACGGAAAGGCCCUGCUUUUGUGGGGUGCUCGAGUGGCGAACGGGUGAGUAACACGUGAGUAACCUGCCCUUGACUUUGGUAUAACUUCAGGAAACUGGGGCUAAUACCGGAUAGGAGCUCCUGCUGCAUGGUGGGGGUUGGAAAGUUUCGGCGGUUGGGGAUGGACUCGCGGCUUAUCAGCUUGUUGGUGGGGUAGUGGCUUACCAAGGCUUUGACGGGUAGCCGGCCUGAGAGGGUGACAGGCCACAUUGGGACUGAGAUACGGCCCAGACUCCUACGGGAGGCAGCAGUGGGGAAUAUUGCACAAUGGGCGGAAGCCUGAUGCAGCAACGCCGCGUGCGGGAUGACGGCCUUCGGGUUGUAAACCGCUUUCGCCUGUGACGAAGCGUGAGUGACGGUAAUGGGUAAAGAAGCACCGGCUAACUACGUG